AGACCAGUCCUGCCAAUACCUUGAUGAUGAUUCAGGUUACUAAGUUCACAUGUGGUGGGUUCCUCAUUGUUCUAAGGUUCAACCACGCAUCCGCUGAUGGCUUAGGAUCGGCACAAGUCAUUUCUGCCAUUGGUGACCUUAUAUUCUGAAGAUUGAAAAGGGCUACUACUAUGGCAAUUCUGAAGAUACACAGUGGUAGGUGUUUUGUCCUAGUCUCAAGCCGUCAAUCCAUUUUGAUCAAUAUAUCUAGUAGAAGUACGCAUACAGAACGUUGUCUUCGAGGCCAGCUAGCUAUUUUGUGCUUUUUUUUUGUUUUAAAUUU